rnacentral:rRNA from 1 species
UACGGAGGGUGCAAGCGUUAAUCGGAAUUACUGGGCGUAAAGCGUGCGCAGGCGGUUUGUUAAGUCUGCUGUGAAAUCCCCGAGCUCAACUUGGGAAUUGCAGUGGAUACUGGCAAGCUGGAGUACGGUAGAGGAAGGUGGAAUUCCCGGUGUAGCAGUGAAAUGCGUAGAGAUCGGGAGGAACACCAGUGGCGAAGGCGGCCUUCUGGACCAGUACUGACGCUCAUGCACGAAAGCGUGGGGAGCAAAAGGG